rnacentral:rRNA from 1 species
GACGAAGGUGACGACCGUUGCUCGGAAUCACUGGGCAUAAAGCGCGCGUAGGUGGCUUGGUAAGUCCAUGGUGAAAUCCCGCGGCUCAACCGUGGAACUGCCUUAGAUACUGACGGCCUCGAGGGAGAUAGGGGCGAGCGGAACUGUGAGUGGAGCGGUGAAAUGCGUUGAUAUUCACAGGAACUCCGGUGGCGAAGGCGGCUCGCUGGAUCUUUUCUGACGCUGAGGCGCGAAAGCUAGGGGAGCAAACGGG